rnacentral:rRNA from 1 species
UACGUAGGGUGCAAGCGUUGUUCGGAAUUACUGGGCGUAAAGGGCUCGUAGGCGGCCAAUUAAGUCACACGUGAAAUCCCCAGGCUUAACUUGGGAACUGCGUCUGAUACUGGGAGGCUUGAGUGCGGGAGAGGGAUGUGGAAUUCCAGGUGUAGCGGUGAAAUGCGUAGAUAUCUGGAGGAACACCGGUGGCGAAGGCGGCAUCCUGGACCGACACUGACGCUGAGGCGCGAAAGCUAGGGGAGCAAACGGG